AGAGUUUGAUCAUGGCUCAGGACGAACGCUGGCGGCGUGCUUAACACAUGCAAGUCGAACGGAAAGGCCCUUCGGGGUACUCGAGUGGCGAACGGGUGAGUAACACGUGGGUGAUCUGCCCUGCACUUUGGGAUAAGCCUGGGAAACUGGGUCUAAUACCGAAUAUGACCAUGCACUUCCUGGUGUGUGGUGGAAAGCUUUUGCGGUGUGGGAUGGGCCCGCGGCCUAUCAGCUUGUUGGUGGGGUAAUGGCCUACCAAGGCGACGACGGGUAGCCGGCCUGAGAGGGUGACCGGCCACACUGGGACUGAGAUACGGCCCAGGCUCCUACGGGAGGCAGCAGUGGGGAAUAUUGCACAAUGGGCGCAAGCCUGAUGCAGCGACGCCGCGUGAGGGAUGACGGCCUUCGGGUUGUAAACCUCUUUCAGCACAGACGAAGCGCAAGUGACGGUAUGUGCAGAAGAAGGACCGGCCAACUACGUGCCAGCAACCGCGGUAAUACGUAGGGUCCGUGCGUUGUCCGGAAUUACUGGGCGUAAAGAGCUCGUAGGUGGUUUGUCGCGUUGUUCGUGAAAACUCACAGCUUAACUGUGGGCGUGCGGGCGAUACGGGCAGACUUGAGUACUGCAGGGGAGACUGGAAUUCCUGGUGUAGCGGUGGAAUGCGCAGACAUCAGGAGGAACACCGGUGGCGAAGGCGGGUCUCUGGGCAGUAACUGACGCUGAGGAGCGAAAGCGUGGGGAGCGAACAGGAUUAGAUACCCCGGUAGUCC
rnacentral:rRNA from 1 species